rnacentral:tRNA from 1 species
GAGGGUAUAGCUCAAGUGGUAGAGCACAUGCUUAGCAUGCACAAGGUCCUGGGUUCAAUCCCCAGUACCUGCU